AGAGUUUGAUCCUGGCUCAGGACGAACGUUGGCGGCAUGGAUUAGGCAUGCAAGUCGAGCGAGAAGGUUCUUUUGCUUGCAUUAGAACUGGAAAGCGGCGCAAGGGUGAGUAACGCGUAGUUACCUGCCUCGGGGUCCGGAAUAGCCACGGGAAACUGUGGGUAAUGCCGGAUAAUAUCCCCGGAUCAAAGGUGAGAUUCCGCCCUGAGAGGGGACUGCGUCCUACUAGCUUGUUGGUGGGGUAACGGCCUACCAAGGCUACGAUGGGUAGCGGGCGUGAGAGCGUGGCCCGUCACACUGGGACUGAGACACUGCCCAGACACCUACGGGUGGCUGCAGUCGAGAAUCUUCGGCAAUGGGCGAAAGCCUGACCGAGCAAUGCCGCGUGCGGGAUGAAGACCCUCGGGUUGUAAACCGUGAAAGUGAGGAGGAAGGCCCCGUGAAGAGCGGGGUUUGACCGAUCCACAGUAAGGACGGGCUAAGUUCGUGCCAGCAGCCGCGGUAAU
rnacentral:rRNA from 1 species